GAGGGUCAUUGGAAACUGGGGGACUUGAGUGCAGAAGAGGAAAGUGGAAUUCCACCUGUAGCGGUGAAAUGCGUAGAGAUGUGGAGGAACACCAGUGGCGAAAGCUACUUUUUGGUCUGUAACUGACGCUGAGGCGCGAAAGCGUGGGGAGCAAACAUGAUUAGAUACCCUGGUAGUCCACGCCGAAGACGAUGAGUGCUAAGUGUUAUAGGGUUUCCGCCCCUUAGUGCUGCAGCUAACGCAU
rnacentral:rRNA from 1 species